UUCAGCAGUCAUUGCAAUAAACUGAACAUUUCUUAUUGUUUAGGGAUGUCACGAUUUCCUGAGACGGAGGCAUCUCUGCACCACAUGGGAGCCUGUGGCAAAAUGCAGUCUGAGCAGCCCGACAAGGAAUCUGAUCUGCUUGCUUUGACAAGGUAUGGCUGGGCCUGCAGAGAAAGUGUAAGCAGACUGUGCUGUGUUGCUGAUCAGUGCUGAUCUCCACACCUGAGUUGGUCCCACAACAUCCAGGCACCAGCGUGCUUUGCUUCAUCAUUGACAAGGUGCGCGGCAAGCUCUCACUCAAGCAACACAUUCCAGUGGUCUUCUGUCAACAGACUGGGUGUAUUGAAGUACCAUUACAAGGUCCAAUAAACAACGCUUGCGAGAUG